rnacentral:rRNA from 1 species
UACGAAGGGGGCUAGCGUUGCUCGGAAUCACUGGGCGUAAAGCGCACGUAGGCGGCUUACUAAGUCAGGGGUGAAAUCCUGGAGCCCAACUCCAGAACUGCCUUUGAUACUGGUGAGCUUGAGUCCGGAAGAGGUGAGUGGAACUGCGAGUGUAGAGGUGAAAUUCGUAGAUAUUCGCAAGAACACCAGUGGCGAAGGCGGCUCACUGGUCCGGUACUGACGCUGAGGUGCGAAAGCGUGGGGAGCAACAGG